rnacentral:rRNA from 1 species
UACAGAGGGUGCGAGCGUUAAUCGGAAUUACUGGGCGUAAAGCGUGUGUAGGCGGCCACGUAAGUCGGAUGUGAAAGCCCUGGGCUCAACCCAGGAAGUGCACUCGAUACUGCGUGGCUCGAGUACUGGAGAGGUUGGUGGAAUUCUCGGUGUAGAGGUGAAAUUCGUAGAUAUCGAGAGGAACACCGGUGGCGAAGGCGGCCAACUGGACAGAUACUGACGCUGAGACACGAAAGCGUGGGGAGCAAACAGG